GGGGGCGACCUGGUUUCGACGUGGGUCGCGAAGCAGUUCAGUGCAUGCCGAGGACCAGUCACCUCGUAAAUCCAUCUGGAAAACCACAAACGCCAACGACGAGCGUUUCGCUCUCGCAGCUUAAUCCCUGCGGGCGCUGCACCGGACGGCUCACGGGCCGGAUCGGGUCUCCCCGAGGCGCAAGCCGAGGGGGUUCAAGGCCCGUCGCAGCGUCAUUCACGUGAGCUAAGGGCGUCCUCCGCCGCGGGGGAACGCCACGAAAACCCAGCGGCUCGCCUGCAAUCAGCCUGCCCGGCGGCGGUUUGCGGGUCAAAUCAAACGACGAGGCUAAGCAUGUAGGGCUGGCUGUAGAGGGCUUGCGGACGGGGGUUCGAUUCCCCCCGCCUCCACCA
rnacentral:tmRNA from 1 species